AUCCUGGCUUAGGAUGAACGCUAGCGGCAGGCUUAACACAUGCAAGUCGAGGGGCAGCGAGAUGUAGCAAUACAUUGUCGGCGACCGGCGCACGGGUGCGUAACGCGUAUGCAACCUACCAUAUACAGGAGGAUAACCAUUCGAAAGAAUGACUAAUACUCCAUAGUAUUAUUUUGAGGCAUCUUAGAAUAAUUAAAGAAUUUCGGUAUAUGCUGGGCAUGCGUGACAUUAGCUAGUUGGAGAGGUAACGGCUCACCAAGGCUACGAUGUCUAGGGGUUUUGAGAGGAAGAUCCCCCACACUGGUACUGAGACACGGACCAGACUCCUACGGGAGGCAGCAGUGAGGAAUAUUGGUCAAUGGACGGAAGUCUGAACCAGCCAUGCCGCGUAGAAGGAAGACUGCCCUAUGGGUUAGUAAACUUCUUUAUACGGGGAUAAACCUAUCUUUGCGAAGAUAGCUGAAGGUACCGUAUGAAUAAGCAUCGGCUAACUCCGUGCCAGCCGCCGC
rnacentral:rRNA from 1 species